rnacentral:rRNA from 1 species
AUUGAACGCUGGCGGAAUGCUUUACACAUGCAAGUCGAACGGCAGCACGGACUUCGGUCUGGUGGCGAGUGGCGAACGGGUGAGUAAUACAUCGGAACGUGCCCAGUCGUGGGGGAUGACGUAGCGAAAGCUACGCUAAUACCGCAUACGAUCUAAGGAUGAAAGCGGGGGAUCGCAAGACCUCGCGCGAUUGGAGCGGCCGAUGGCAGAUUAGGUAGUUGGUAGGGUAAAGGCCUACCAAGCCGACGAUCUGUAGCUGGUCUGAGAGGACGACCAGCCACACUGGGACUGAGACACGGCCCAGACUCCUACGGGAGGCAGCAGUGGGAAUUUUGGACAAUGGACGCAAGUCUGAUCCAGCCAUUCCGCGUGCAGGAUGAAGGCCCUCGGGUUGUAAACUGCUUUUGUACAGAACGAAAAGGCUCUGGUUAAUACCUGGAGCUCAUGACGGUACUGUAAGAAUAAGCACCGGCUAACUACGUGCCAGCCGCCGCCGUAA